rnacentral:rRNA from 1 species
AGUGAACGCUGGCGGUAGGCCUAACACAUGCAAGUCGAACGGCAGCACAGUAAGAGCUUGCUCUUACGGGUGGCGAGUGGCGGACGGGUGAGGAAUACAUCGGAAUCUACUUUUUCGUGGGGGAUAACGUAGGGAAACUUACGCUAAUACCGCAUACGACCUACGGGUGAAAGCAGGGGAUCUUCGGACCUUGCGCGAUUGAAUGAGCCGAUGUCGGAUUAGCUAGUUGGCGGGGUAAAGGCCCACCAAGGCGACGAUCCGUAGCUGGUCUGAGAGGAUGAUCAGCCACACUGGAACUGAGACACGGUCCAGACUCCUACGGGAGGCAGCAGUGGGGAAUAUUGGACAAUGGGGCAAGCCUGAUCCAGCCAUACCGCGUGGGUGAAGAAGGCCUUCGGGUUGUAAAGCCCUUUUGUUGGGAAAGAAAAGCAGCAGGUUAAUACCCCGCUGUUCUGACGGUACCCAAAGAAUAAGCACCGGCUAACUUCGUG